ACCGACUGGCUCAUCACCUCACCUAACAGUUAUUGGUGAUGGGUCAACCAAUGAGUGGACAACUCUUAUCCAAUGAUUCUCUAAUCAUGGUGCACCCAAAACUUGAUCUCUAAUUCAUGAAGCUCACCGUGCCCGAAAUAUUGCUCCAAUCCUUAGUUAAGUCAAACCCACCAUUUGCACGAACUAGAUCCUGAUUGGGUCCCU
rnacentral:lncRNA from 1 species